rnacentral:rRNA from 1 species
AGUGAACGCUGGCGGUAGGCCUAACACAUGCAAGUCGAACGGCAGCACAGUAAGAGCUUGCUCUUACGGGUGGCGAGUGGCGGACGGGUGAGGAAUACAUCGGAAUCUACUUUUUCGUGGGGGAUAACGUAGGGAAACUUACGCUAAUACCGCAUACGACCUACGGGUGAAAGCAGGGGAUCUUCGGACCUUGCGCGAUUGAAUGAGCCGAUGUCGGAUUAGCUAGUUGGCGGGGUAAAGGCCCACCAAGGCGACGAUCCGUAGCUGGUCUGAGAGGAUGAUCGGCCACACUGGAACUGAGCCACGGUCCAGCCUCCUACGGGAGGCAGCAGUGGGGAAUAUUGGACAAUGGGCGCAAGCCUGAUCCAGCCAUACCGCGUGGGUGAAGAAGGCCUUCGGGUUGUAAAGCCCUUUUGUUGGGAAAGAAAAGCAGCAGGUUAAUACCCCGCUGUUCUGACGGUACCCAAAGAAUAAGCACCGGCUAACUUCGUG